CAUUUAUUGAUUUUGAACUACUCAAGGUUAUCCCUAUGUUGUAGGCUACAAAGAAGCGUGAGCAUAUCUCUUUCUUCUGACACCUUAACUCUUUUAUUUUUAACCACAACAGUUCCAUUCACCUAGGUAUCUAAAUCCUCAUCUCCUCCACCUUUGGCCACCAUCAUUUGAAGACUGUCGACAGAGCUAUGCAAUUUGUUCUUUCUCAAUUUCUGAUUCAAUUUGUGGAUAAAUGUAUGUUUCUCUAUGAUCUACUUUGUUUCAUUUUUGCUUUUCUUCAUUUUUUUGUAGCGGGGAGACUCAUUCUGCUUCUCUAUGAUAAAUAUGUUUUCUGUUGAUUCUGCAUCUUCAUAUCCUUAGCCUUUUCAUCAAGCCUCUGAUUGCAUGACGUGUUCACAAGUUAGAGAAGAUUCAAGCUACUGUGGAAAGGAAUUUGGUUGCUAAAAUUAAGUCUGAGGUAGAGGAAGGUCAAGCCUAUGAAGUUGAGAAUGUAUUGUUCACGCAUAAUGAUCCAAAAUAUGUUACUACAAGUCAUAAGUAUAAAUUAUAUUGAAUUUGAUUGAUUGAACAACGUGGACCAAGGUUGAUUAAAAUGUUAUACCAAACAACCAUUUCGAUUUCAUGGCUUUUAACGAUGUUAUGCAAUAAGGAAACGAAGGACAAUACAUAUACAUCAAUGGACAUGUCGUCGAGAAGGAUGAUAUAAGAGAUAAGGAGGUUAAUGGGAGGACAAGCAAACUAAUUGACAUCACACUAGAAGACUUGGAGAUUCACUGUUCACUAUGGGGGGAUUAUGCUAGACAAAUGCAUUCCUACCUGACAAGUCAGAGUGGAUCGUUUCCAAUUGUGAUUGUGUUGCAACUUUGCAAAUUAAAAAAAUACUUUGGCGUGAUGGGAGUAUCGAAUGCAUUUCAUGGGACAAAAUUGAUUAUUAAUUCAGAUGAUUCUGCCAUUAGAGAAUAUAUGACCAAACUUGAGGGUGUUGAUGUGGAGGUAUCUCAGGGUGUGAGUCAAGUAAGUGGUUUGCAAAUCGUGCCCAUGUCUGAUGAUAUGCUUCAAUUGCACAUGAUGAUGAUUGAAGAUAUAAUUGAGUCGACUGAUUCAUGUGUAGCGGUUGUUGUUGCAACAAUUUGUGAUAUUGAGGCAGAACAUUGGUGGUAUUAUGAGGCAUGUACAAAGUGUGCUGGAAGGGUCACAAUUGUUGCUGGUAGGAUGUUCUGUGGAAGGUGUAAUCAAUCUAGGAAUGCAGUUCAAAGGUGUGUUCCGAUGAGGAAGUAGUUGAUGACCCUAACGUCAAUGUAUCGCCAUUGUCAAAUGAACCAUCCAUUGAGGUUCGACUACUUGAAGGGGGGAUUCAACAAAGUCUGAUAAAAAAAUGCGUAACCAAUUAAAUGCAGUCGAUGAACUGACACCAGCUAGCAAGAGAAGUGGCAAGAAAUCUGCUGAAACUGUGGACCUUAUUAAUAUUGAAAAGGAGCUGACAAAAGGAUCAACAACCAAAGCUGUGAAAUUGAAGUCCGUCAAGGUUGAGAAGAAGUAAAUGUGGAAGUGUUUGCCUACCAGCCGAUCGUGUAUCAUAAUAAUAAUAAAGUCUGUCACCGUAAUUUAAAAUAAGUUCCUGCUUUUUUCCAAAAUUUUGAAAGUAUGGAUGGAUAUUUAUAUUUUGCUCAUUUGUCGUUGUCGUAUUCGAUUGUUUUCGAAUUUUAAAUACCUAUCAUGGUUUUGCAGUUUGUUGAAGUUUUAAGUUUUAA